CUCACUUCUCUUUUCACUUAUAUCUACUAUAGAGGAAAUGAACUAGCCACCGUCACCCCAUGUGUCAUUUGCAUACCCACAAAUCCACAUCCUCUCUUCAAUUUUUCUCAAAGCCCUUGACAACCAUGUCUACUCCCCAUCAUUCUAUUGCUGCCACGGGUACUUCUGCUCUGCCCACAGUCACUAUGAAGUCAUACAAUAUUUGUCCUUCUGUGACUGGUUUAUUCGCUCUGCAAAAUGUCUUCAAUAUGUGCUUCCAGUCUCUGACUUCUUACCA